rnacentral:ncRNA from 1 species
AAGAGAUAAGGGCAAACUUGAUGAAAGUCAAGGACGCAAAGCUAGAGGGGCUACUCGAUCAUGUCGAAUGCCAGCCAGUUCCCGCU